UGUUUACGUGCUGAUUCAUGUCCAGAUCAGCUCUUCGUGGCACCAUUCCUAGCUUCGAAUACUCAGCGGGAUCUUCAAGUUUUGCUAUUUUCUUUAGGCUGCCAUUAUUCUCCUCAGGAAAAGCUAACCUCAGUUCUUUUGGAAAAUAGAGCUCCAGCUCAUCACGAACUUCAUCAGUGACCUUUUGAAGCCGUCUUGUGUCCUGGUUCAUCAUGAGCCACUUGCUGGUUGCUCUUCCAAUGACUUCACCAGUAGCGCAGUCUUUGAGAAUCCAAUCGCGUCUAGUCCCAAUCCUGCCUUCACUUUGGCACCAAGUCUCUAUUUCAACAACAUCACUCCAAGCAGGGUACUUAUAGAUCUCAAUGUACAUGCGAGCAGUAACCCAUAUAAGAUGUAAUUUUCUCAUGCUAUGGGUAGUUGCAAAUCCAUCCGUUGAAAAUCCAACACUUUGAUCAUGGUUGCAUCCAACCUCCUG
rnacentral:misc_RNA from 1 species